rnacentral:rRNA from 1 species
UACGAAGGGGGCUAGCGUUGUUCGGAAUUACUGGGCGUAAAGCGCGCGCAGGCGGCUAUCCAAGUCAGUGGUGAGAGCCCGGAGCUCAACUCCGGAACUGCCAUUGAAACUGUUUAGCUUGAGUACGAGAGAGGUGAGUGGAAUUCCCAGUGUAGAGGUGAAAUUCGUAGAUAUUGGGAAGAACACCAGUGGCGAAGGCGGCUCACUGGCUCGUAACUGACGCUCAGGCGCGACAGCGUGGGGAGCAAACAGG